rnacentral:RNase_P_RNA from 1 species
GUAAGCCAGUGAGCGGGCUUCCGGACGCUUAAAGCGUCUGGAGGAAAUUCCUCCACGCAGGUGGAACCACACCACGGUGACGUGGGGGGCGAGAGCCCCGGCUCCGGCGCAGAAAAGGCACUCCCGCCUGGUGUAUGUGGAUGAUAUGCGGCUCAACCGCUGACAAUACCGAGCUGUGGAGAUGAAACUGCCGUCCUGUGGGCGUCAAGGCGAAUGAAGCCUAUGAGCCUCCACCUGAGGCUUCGGUAGGCCGCAUUAGUCAAAUCCCGCAUAAAA